rnacentral:tRNA from 1 species
GCCGGCAUGGCUCAGGGGUUGAGCGUUGACUUAUGAACCAGGAGGUCCCGGGUUCGAUUCCCGGUCAGGGCA